CAAUUAAUAUAAAUAGCUAGACUUACCGACCGUCCCUAAAGCAAGUGGCAAAGGGCUUGGUGGUUGGUACCCGAGACCCAAGUUCGAAUCCUGGUUGAUUCACAUUUUCAGCUAAGUUUAUUUCUAAAUGAAAUAAACGAAGCGGGUAGCGUGCUACCUAUCUCUCAAAAAAAUAAAUAAAUAGCUCGACUCUUUCAGCUAAACUCGCUUUUCAGCUCAUUUGCGAAUUCUUAGCAGAAGA
rnacentral:lncRNA from 1 species